UACGGAGGAUGCGAGCGUUAUCCGGAUUUAUUGGGUUUAAAGGGUGCGCAGGCGGAUUUUUAAGUCAGCGGUCAAAUCGUGGGGCUCAACCCCAUCCAGCCGUUGAAACUGGGGAUCUAGAGUGUGCGAGAGGUAUGCGGAAUGCGUGGUGUAGCGGUGAAAUGCAUAGAUAUCACGCAGAACCCCGAUUGCGAAGGCAGCAUACCGGUGCACAACUGACGCUCAGGCACGAAAGCGUGG
rnacentral:rRNA from 1 species